CCUACGGGUGGCAGCAGUGAGGAAUAUUGGACAAUGGGGGGAACCCUGAUCCAGCGACGCCGCGUGAGUGAAGAAGUAUUUCGGUAUGUAAAGCUCUAUCAGCAGGGAAGAAAGAAAUGACGGUACCUGACUAAGAAGCCGCGGCUAACUACGUGCCAGCAGCCGCGGUAAUACGUAGGGGGCAAGCGUUAUCCGGAUUUACUGGGUGUAAAGGGAGCGUAGACGGUGAUGCAAGUCUGAAGUGAAAGGCGGGGGCUCAACCCCCGGACUGCUUUGGAAACUGUAUGGCUGGAGUGCAGGAGAGGUAAGUGGAAUUCCUAGUGUAGCGGUGAAAUGCGUAGAUAUUAGGAGGAACACCAGUGGCGAAGGCGGCUUACUGGACUGUAACUGACGUUGAGGCUCGAAAGCGUGGGGAGCAAACAGGAUUAGAUACCCUGGUAGUC
rnacentral:rRNA from 1 species